CCAUAUCGCCCCGUCGAAGGUUCCCCGCCGAGACAUCUCCAAGGGGAUCAAAAGGGAACACGGUGCGGCGUACCCAUCAGGGACCAAAACCGUGGCUGCCCCCGCAACUGUAAGCGGUGAGUUCUUCCGGAAUGCCACUGGCCGAAAGGCUGGGAAGGCCGGAAGCGCCAGGACCCGCGAGCCAGGAGACCUGCCGUCGACAUCAACGAAAC
rnacentral:ncRNA from 2 species